UGUAACAGUGUGAUUGUAUUGUGCUCUUAAAUUUGCAGUCUGCUUGGAAAUUGGAACAUUCUUGCAGGCUUCUGUGUUCGUUUAUAGGACAGACUAUUGUAGUUGAGGUUUCAGGGGUGAAAUCCUGGCUCUGUUGAAGUCAGCGGGAGUUUUGCCAUUGACUUCAAUGGGGGCAGGAUUUUACCCUUGGCCUCUUUUAGGAAAGGAGCAGAUGUACGGGGAGAUGUCAGCAAACCAGUAAAGUGCCUGAACCCACUAUGGCUUAUUGCUAAAAGCAGCCAGGUCAGCAGGCUUAGCUUACCCAAGGAAGGAGGGGAGGAGGUUUGGGGUGCCACAGAAAGGGCAGCUUGACCCCCCGUCCUUCCUGAUAAGAACUGUGUUGAAGUUGUUGAUACAUGCAUUUUAGAAGAGCAGGAUGUGCCUUCAGGAAUGUGUCUAACAGAGUCUCAAGGCUGCAAACUCUGGGAAAAAAUGACACCUGGUUAAUCAAUAAUCAAAAGAAAAGCAUCUGCUUGACCAUUGAAACUGCUUGCUUAACAAGUUUUCUGUAAGGGACAUGUCAUUGUGUUACUAAUGUAUAAAAUAAGGGGCAAAAGUUUGAGGCAGUGGAACUCUUUCGGACUGGACUCUCCCUCCGGAUGCAUCUUGUGUUCCCCACUGGCAGAUGGGCUGCCACUGUGCCACUCAAGAGCCACACUCCGCUUUGGUACAGCUAAGCAAGACUCAAGUUUCACUAUAUAAACUGGGGUCCCAAAGGAAGUUCUUUGGAACCUGCUCCAACACACAGCCCCAAGAUCAGAUUGCCAGACCUCAACACCCUGCCAACUGCACCAUGCAGAAGCUGGAGUUCCCCAGAUGACCUGAUCCUGAUUGGCCAUCAAGAAAAGUUCAUCUGCCUUAUUGGGAGUGGCUUGAGCCUGGAGUACAAAUUAUAAAAGGAGAGCUAUAAUUUUGGAUCUGACAUAAAAAAUGUGGUCUUUCUAGGAAAAAAAUCAACUCCCCAGAUUUUCAGCAGAGGUCAGUUCCCGUUUGGGCCCAUAAACAACGUGACCAGAAUGUCAGAAGAGCUCCAUACUCAACAUCUUCCAUUGUCCUCUUUCCUGGCAUGUGGGCAGGACAAAAUAUCUACAGAAUCACAUGAUAGUUCCUUUCUCUUUCUAAAAUUAAGGAUUUGCUCUCUGUUGUAGCAUUGCACCCCAGAAUCAAUGAGCGCUGAAGGUGUUCAUCACCUUGUGGAAUUAAAUCGAGAAGCAAAAGAGACAGGAGGAGAAGUUAUUGGAGACAAUAAAUGAAAGCACUUGAAGGUAGAGAUGGGUCCAAGCUGCAAAGUUACAAUCUAAAUCUGAACAUACUCAAAGUUGCAAGAUCUGGACUGAAUUCAGAGUCAUAGGGUAUAUCUACGUUGCAGUGUAAACUCCGGGUUAGUGGGACUCAAGUUCUUUGACGCUAGAUUUAUAAGCCCAGGUUUGAGUGUCUACAUUCAUUGGUGACCCUAAGUUUAGAAUUUCUGGAUCUAGGCCCCAAACCCAGGCUCCAGAGUCCACACUGCAUUACACAGACCUGAGUCAAAUCACCAUAUCCCAGUCUCCUUAGACCUUCCCCAGCUGCAGCCACUCUAGCCCUUGGUUUAGGUACAGUGUGGGAAAACCUGGACUGUCCACCCCACAUGUUACAGAAAUGUGUUGCAGCCCUCCAACACAUUCUGCCAGACAUCUUUUGGGUCUGCACACUCCCAGCAACUGGAGUCAACAACAUCAGGAGUCACCAUUUGAAGAGCUUCUCCUGCUUGGCCUUUCACUCCUGUUUCAGGAAAAGGGCAGAGCAUCCAUGAGACAUGGGUGGACAUUUCGGCAGCUUUUUCUGACCUACUUGAAGAAGACUGAUGGAGGAGGAGGAGGAGAAUACAGACGUGGAAAACUCAAACUGGCUGAUGCCAUUCACAACUCUCGGUAUAGCCACUGAUGCCCUCUACCUAGACCAGCGCUUCUGGAGCAGGGCCAGAAGCACAGACUGGUGGGAUCACAUCAUCAUGCAGACCUGGAAUGACCAGCAGCAUUGGGUCCAGAACUUUUGCAUAAAGAAAGCUGAAUUUCUGGAUCUUUGUGAGCAGUUGGCCCUGCACCUCCAGUGUCAUGACACAUGCAUGAGUAUGGACAUGUCAGUCCAGAACCAGGUGGUCACAACCGUUUGAAAGCAGGCUACUCCAGACUGCUACAGCUCCGUUGCUAACCAGUUUUGUGUUGGAAAGUCAGCUGUGGGCAAAUGGUGGCAGCAGGUUCUGAAGCAAUGAGAUGUAUGAUUUUCCCAAAGGUGGUGGGUAUAAAGAAUUUUCCUGAAAUAAUUGCUGGCUUUGAGAGAAUUGGUUUUCCAGACUACCACAGCCAUUGAUGGGACUCAUGUGCCCAUAAUUCACCCUCCUCAAGGAGUAGAUGAAUACAUAAACCGCAAAGCUUACUACUGCAUUGUUAUGCAGGCCCUUGUGGACCACAAAGGCUGAUUUAUGGAUGCCAACGUGAACUGAACUGGAAAAGAGUAUGAUGCCAGGGUUUUCCACUGAUCAGGAGUCUACAUUCAUGGGUAGGCUGGGACACUAUUCCCACUGAAUGACAUUGUUAUAAAUGGAUUUACUGUCCCCACCGUUAUUCUGGGGACCCCACGCACAGCCUUUUUGCCUUGGCUUAUGAAACCUUCCCUAAUUUCAGAGGGACUAGCAAAAGAAGCUUUAAUUAUACUCUUAGCAGGUAUAGAAUGACGGUUAAAUGUGCAUCUGACAGAUUGGAAUCCCGCUGGCACGGUCUACAGACCCGUUCGGAUGCCAGCAGCCACAGUGCUGCCUGCAUUACUGUGGCUUCCAGUGCUCUUUUCAAUCUCUCUGAAGCCUAAGGUGAGUAAUUUGCCCUUGAAUGGACCUAUGACAGUAAUAGAUGCUGAACUGGUACAUGCAGCCAGCUGGGGCAGGAUUCACCUGGGGAACAGAAAUCAGAUGUUCUGUGCUCCCACAUUAUAGACUUGUAUGGGGCAUGAAAGAGGGAGAAUAAUACGUUUAUAGAUGUGUCCGUACAAUGUUGACAGUAAAUGAGUUUCUGUCAUAUCAUGCAAUGAAAUGGAGUGUGGUUGAUUAAUUUUAAUUAUGGAUGAGAUGACUGCUUACGUACUGGGUGUUGGGGGAAUAAUAGCCAUGCAUUGUACUUAUGGAUGACAUAACUGCUUCUGACAUGGGGAAGGAGGCAUGUGGCAAGAACUGUGGAUUGAUGUAGAUAAAUGUAUUGAAAAAUUGAGUUUGGAUACAACUACCCAGUUGUCCCCUGUCAUGUGUAUAUCUUUAUUAUUUGAAAUACACAGUAUAUGAUGUGAUGCAGGGAUGGUAAUAAACUUUCUUAAUAAAAUAAAAGCCUUUAUUUGCAAGCAUGGAUGUAUUACAAAAAACAAUAUUAAAGCAUUGCCAGGCAGUCCAGCUGCCACUGGCACACUAAAACACCAGUAAUAAACCAACAUAAACGCCAUUAAUAAAACAAAGUGCAU